UACCCGCCCCCCGAGUGGUCGGGACGUUUAUUGGGCCUAAAGAAUCCGUAGCCGGUUCUACAAGUCUUCCGUUAAAUCCAGCUGCUUAACAGAUGGGCUGCGGAAGAUACUAUGGAGCUAGGAGGCGGGAGAGGCAAGCGGUACUCGAUGGGUAGGGGUAAAAUCCGUUGAUCCAUUGAAGACCACCAGUGGCGAAGGCGGCUUGCCAGAACGCGCUCGACGGUGAGGGAUGAAAGCUGGGGGAGCAAACCGG
rnacentral:rRNA from 1 species